rnacentral:rRNA from 1 species
CAGUAGCCGCGGUAAUACGAAGGGGGCUAGCGUUGUUCGGAUUUACUGGGCGUAAAGCGCACGUAGGCGGACUUUUAAGUCAGGGGUGAAAUCCCGGGGCUCAUCUCCAACAUUGCUUCCUAGACUGGCAGUCUUGAGUAGCGGAGAGGAAGGGGGAACGACACGUGUAGCGGUGAAAUGCGUUGAUAUGUGUCGGAACACCCAUGGCGAAAGCACCCUUCUGGACGCAAACUGACGCUCAGGUUCGAAAGCCAAGGUAGCGAACAGGAUUAGAUACCCCCGUAGUCCCUGUCUCUUAUAA